CCUCUCGUGGUGUAGGGCUAACGCGCCUUGUCUAACGAACAGGGAGUCGUGAGUUCGAUUCUCACCGAAAAGC
rnacentral:tRNA from 1 species